UGCCAGCAGCCGCGGUAAGACGGAGGGGGCUAGCGUUGUUCAGAAUUACUGGGCGUAAAGCGCGCGUAGGCGGCCUGUCGAGUCGGGCGUGAAAGCCCGGGGCUUAACCUGGGAAUUGCUUCUAAAACUGCUGAGCUAGAGUACGGUAGAGGGUGGUGGAAUUUCCUGUGUAGCGGUGAAAUGCGUAGAUAUAGGAAGGAACAUCAGUGGCGAAGGCGACCACCUGGACUGAUACUGACACUGAGGUGCGAAAGCGUGGGGAGCAAACAGGAUUAGAUA
rnacentral:rRNA from 1 species